CCUUCUCUGCUGCUCGAUGUCUGCGGCAUGUGCCAGAUAAUUUUGUGAGAUAGUGAGUGUAGCACGUCCGCUGAUAACUUGGAGUUAUGUGGGCAUAAUAACUUUGAGCUACGUGUGUAACUGCAGUGUAGCGAGCUGGGGUGUUUUUUUCCUGUCUCCACAGGUGUGACACCAUGGAUUGGAAGCGAGGAGGGAGGAUAAGUGCUGAGUGAGCAGAGACAGCAGCCACUGUGUCUUUCUCAAACAUCUUCAAGGUCCCUGCGGAGGGAUAAAUGGACAACAGGAGGUGCUUUCCCAGGAGAGACUCAUCUGGUGCCUUGUGGGGCUCCAGCGUGCAGUGACGAGGGCGGCCGGGCUCUUUGCACUCGCUGUUCCUUUUUCCUAUGCAUAUACCUCUUUGAGAUGUAACUUUAAAGAGGCAUAGGGCAUGGGAAAAUGGGGCUGCAGAGGUAUUCCACCGGGCAGACAGCCGUCAUUUCAUCAUCCUCUCCGCAUGACAGCUGGCCUCAAAGCAAACACACACUCUCACACACUGCAGGAUCCAGCCUGCCGCGGUCUGACCGAGGAAGACUGCAGCGUGUACAUUCUGACCACAGGUGAUUUUUGUGUCUGUGAUUCAUGUUUAUUUCAUAUCAUCACUCAAGUUUCAUCAUGUUCACUCCUGAUGACAUUGUGUGAGUGUGGACUGAGGUGAUAUUGUUACACUGUUUAUUUGAAACAUCUGUUUGCCUCGGUCUCCUAUGUUUGCUGCUGUUUGUGAAUAAAGUCCUCUUGGUAUUAAA